rnacentral:tRNA from 1 species
UGUGCUGUGGCUCAGACGGAGAGCGCUCACCUAGCAUGCGUGAGACACUGAGUUCAAUCCUCAGCACCACAU